UAUAUAAUAAGUAAAUAGUCUUUGCAAAUCAACUUUUAAAAGAAGACGUUAAAAACAGAAGGCAGGUUGUGUACUGGAAGUUAAAGGGCUUGAGGAACUCUGUAGUGAAUAACUUAUGUGACGGUGUACACAUGAACCAUAUUGGCAAUGUAAAUAUUACAGGGCAAUCAGGGGUGCUGUGAUACAUAGUACAAGCGAUAGCUAGAUAAAUAUUUUGUAUGUCAUUUAGCCAUAUAACAAUUAUGGUUAAUUUGCAAUUUAAAUUCAGAAACAGGCAAUACAUGUAUAUAUAGCUUAUUAUGCAUAUAUGACACAAUGUUUUACUUUCAGCAGAUUUUUAUUUAAUCACAUAUUAGAUGCAUUGUAGAGAGCCAGUCCAAGAGUUGGAAAUACAGCAAGGGACCCUUGUGAUCAAGCAUUUAUUUUUACUUAGAACAAGAUGAGUACCGGUAAUAGGCCUACAGACUAUGGGGGUGGUUACAAAGCCAGUUAAUUUACAACAAGAGGAAGUCACAAGUGACACUCCAACAAGCAACAAUCAUUCAAGCCAAUUAGAAGAUGGCAAUUUUACCAAGUAAUUCAGGAAAGAGGACAUUGGCUUAGAAAAAACAUUUUCAACCAUGAUGACAGGAGCAUCUGGUUGUAUCAAGAAGUAGUAAAGUUUUGAUGUAAUUAUGUAUCUAACAAAGUUUGUGUACAAUGCAUAAUAAUAUUGUAUUGUUUUACAAGAUUGAAAUAGUUUCUUUGUAUGUUGGUAAUGUGUUAUUUUUCAUUUUUUGUAUCCAGUUUGUAUGAAUUUUAGGGAUACUUCUAUUGUAGUAAGAUUAAGACUCGCACUUAGGGUUGGGUGGGGAUUACUGCUGAUGACAGUUCAGAUCUGCCUGUCAUUGGCAGUAAGUGGCAUUUUUACCUUACCCCACCUUUGAUGUAAAAAUUUUAUACAGUAAUGUUUUGAUCUUUUUGGAAGUUGCAUGUAGUGAUAUUGGUAUCACUGCAAGGUUUAUAAAUGUAAAUCUAUCAAACUACAUUUUCAUUUUUGUAAUAGUUUUACAAAAUUGUCAUUUGGUAAUAAAUGACCUUUUUCAACUUUAAA